CAAUAUAUUUUUCCCAGUGAUCCCUCACAUUGAUUUCUCUAUCAUGGGGACACAGCAAUAUUUGUUGCUGUAAAAAUUCACGUCACAUUUGAUUGGAUGGAAAGUUUUGCCUUGACACUUUAAUGCAUAAAAUUGUCUGCAACCUUU